CAGCGCCACGAGGUGGGUUUGGUCACAUUCUCCAUGCCCGCCGGAGGAUACUUCAACAGCUGUGCACUGCUGCGCCGACACCAGACCCUCGAGCCCCAGCUCUUUACUGAUGGCCCUGCAGCAGCAGCAGAGGACAGUCUGUGGUGUUCGCCAUCUUUAUGCUUGUUGCUGCUUCCGCUUCUUCUUCGGUCGUGAAUGAUCACUGACGGGGGCGGUGCUGCCACCUGCAGGGGGGUUCGCGCUCCUCUGUCGCCUCCAACAGGCAGCCGAUGAGGAGCUCACCUUCCUGCAGGUCAUCAAGUUCAGCGCACACAGCACCGGAACAUGCUUCUAUCUAAUUUCAAAAUAAAAGUCAAAUGGAAAAUUUUCCUACAGCACUUUUAAAACCAAUGCUAAUAAAUAAAUAAA